UACGUAGGGUGCAAGCGUUAAUCGGAAUUACUGGGCGUAAAGCGUGCGCAGGCGGUUUUGUAAGUCUGACGUGAAAGCCCCGGGCUCAACCUGGGAAUUGCGUUGGAGACUGUAAGGCUUGAAUCUGGCAGAGGGGGGUAGAAUUCCACGUGUAGCAGUGAAAUGCGUAGAGAUGUGGAGGAACACCGAUGGCGAAGGCAGCCCCCUGGGUCAAGAUUGACGCUCAUGCACGAAAGCGUGGGGAGCAAACAGG
rnacentral:rRNA from 1 species